GAUGAACGCUGGCGGCGUGCCUAAUACAUGCAAGUCGAGCGAACAGACGAGGAGCUUGCUCCUCUGACGUUAGCGGCGGACGGGUGAGUAACACGUGGAUAACCUACCUAUAAGACUGGGAUAACUUCGGGAAACCGGAGCUAAUACCGGAUAAUAUAUUGAACCGCAUGGUUCAAUAGUGAAAGACGGUUUUGCUGUCACUUAUAGAUGGAUCCGCGCCGCAUUAGCUAGUUGGUAAGGUAACGGCUUACCAAGGCAACGAUGCGUAGCCGACCUGAGAGGGUGAUCGGCCACGCUGGAACUGAGACACGGUCCAGACUCCUACGGGAGGCAGCAGUAGGGAAUCUUCCGCAAAGGGCGAAAGCUUGACGGAGCAACGCCGCGUGAGUGAUGAAGGUCUUCGGAUCGUAAAACUCUGUUAUUAGGGAAGAACAAAUGUGUAAGUAACUAUGCACGUCUUGACGGUACCUAAUCAGAAAGCCACGGCUAACUACGUG
rnacentral:rRNA from 1 species